AGAUUGUUGAAAAAAAUGACCAGGCAUCCACGGAACCAAGAAGUUUCACAGCACAACUGGAUUGGUAAAAAUAAAGUAUGAUGAUUUUAUUUACUAUAGAACCUAGGACGGAACAUAUUUCGUUUACACAACAAUGGGCACUGGAAGAUUAUUCGACAGUGCUUUAAAGUCGUUUGUAGAAUCUAAUCUUCAAGCUGGAUGCUAUAAUUUGCACGUUUUGUAAUACGAUAAUAACUUCAUGCCACAAGCGAAAUCCGAUAAUUAUUUUCUAUUCACGAAUAGAUGGAAUUAAAACGGCAAAUUGCCAAAUGGGACAAUCAGUUACAGAUUCACGUCUAGAGAACACGAACACCGUACAAAGCAAACUCAUUACUUAAUUGACAUAUUCUUUGCUGGAAGUUUGACCUUGUUAGUAAUUCAUGCUCGUCAGUGCUGUAACGACGCUUAACUGGUUCAGAUGACGACGCCUUAAAUUCCUUCUGAUGACAUGCGCGUUCAAAAUGCCCUUUAAUACCACAAUUUCGACAAUUCUGAUCAAU